CAUGGCGGACUUGACGAGCAAUGCACCUAGAAGCUUGGGUAGCGUUUACAACUGGGUACAUUGCAGAGAGGAAAAGACGUACUUGUUAUAGAUGGCUUCAUUUACCAUUUGAAAAAGAGAGCAAAACAUAGGAGCUAUUUGGUAUGUAAGUUCAAACGUGCUCAGCAAUGUAACACAACAGCUAUCACUGACGUUGUAACAAACGGAGCGGAGUUAAUAAUUAAGUCAGUAGAGCAGAACCAUGAAGGAGAUCCAGGGGAGGUGGAAAGGUUUCCUGCUCUAAAAAGGUGAGAGGUAUAAUGGGUUAGGCCAAGCUCAGGAGGAGAAGGAGGAUGGCUGUCCUGUUGUAUGAGGAAGGAGUCCACAGAAACUACAAAAACUGACAGGCCAAAAAAGAGCCAUGAAGCACAUCAGCUAUCUGUAUCAUGCAGCCCAUCCAGUGAUCAUGAUGAAGUUCAAGAUGUCUCACCAUGGUAGUAUGGCCCCUGGUACACAGGACCUUAAGGUGCUUAGAGAGUCCAUCCAUGAGGACAGUGAUGCUGCUGAAGCUGUAGUCUCGGAUGUAGAAGUCAACUUUACUAGCCAUUCGGAGGAUGCUUACACAGUGGAUGUUGAACAGGGUAUGGCUGUUGACCAAAAGACCACACUACUGAUGGCAGUUCCAAACAACAUCCAGAAACAGGGCAUCACGGUAGACAUAGACGAGCAGAUGUUGUGCAUGGCCAGGUGUUAGAGGAUGUCCUCCUUCUGCUGCAAGUGAAUGAAUGAUCAAAGCAAUGGCAUCGGUCAGAUGUCUGUGCACUUGCCGGUAAAACACAUCUUGUGACACACCAACUACAUGUCAUGUAUGAAGGAUAACAACACAGGCAAAGUAAAAUUAUGGCUGCAUUGGCUGCUCAGAAUGAGAACCUGCUUGCUGUGGCACCAUUGUUCAAAACCUUGACCUCUAUGAUACUGUAGCAAUGUCAUACUACUGGUAGGAUUCUGUGCUCCCUGACUGUGCUCAGCAGAUUGCAAUAUGGGAGAGGCAGACCACCUGUCCACAGAGCCAGCAUUGGCUAUUGAGAAUCACUGUCUGUAAUAAUACAAUCUGCACAGAGUUCUACUGCUGGCCCAUUUGCUAUGCUCCCACCAGUCACAAGGCCUUUAACUCACAGUCACACUCCUUCACUUCAGCAUGGUGUUGUCACCCCAUCAAUCUCCUCUGUGGAGCAACCAGGGCAAUAUGUGUCUAUACAUGGUAGGGGCAGAGGAGACCAUGGUGUGAAACAUCAGUGAGGCCCCCCUAGACUGUAUUAGAGUGUCUCCAACAGUGUAGUACACAUAGCUGCCUCAUAUUAUUGACUUACCACUUUACUGUGGUAUGUGUCUUCUGACAUUACAAUUUCUGCCUUAUGUCCUGCGCU